ACCUGGUUGAUCCUGCCAGUAGUCAUAUGCUUGUCUCAAAGAUUAAGCCAUGCAAGUCUAAGUAUAUGCUGUAUAGUUGAGACUGCAGAUGGCUCGUUAAAACAGUUAUAGUUUAUUUGAUGGUCCCUUACUAAUUGGAUAACCGUAGUAAUUCUAGAGCUAAUACAUGCAUAAAGGCCUGACUCACGAAAGGCUGUGUUUAUUAGAUAAAACCAAUUGCCCUCUGGGUAUUAGGUGAUUCAUAGUAACUUCUCGGAUCGGAUGUCUUCGCGACGCCGACAGAUCAUUCAAAUUUCUGCCCUAUCAGCUUUCGAUGGUACGGUAGUGGCCUACCAUGGCGGUGACGGGUGACGGAGAAUUAGGGUUCGAUUCCGGAGAGGGAGCCUGAGAAACGGCUACCACAUCUAAGGAAGGCAGCAGGCGCGUAAAUUACCCAAUCCUGACGCAGGGAGGUAGUGACAAGAAAUAUCAAUAGAUUGAACACAGUUCUGUCUAAUUGGAAUGAGUACAUUCUAAACCCCUUAACGAGAACCAAUUGGAGGGCAAGUCUGGUGCCAGCAGCCGCGGUAAUUCCAGCUCCAAUAGCGUAUACUAAAGUUGUUGCAGUUAAAAAGCUCGUAGUUGGAUUUCUGUGCACCGGUUGUCGGGCCGUCUCUAUGAGGUGGCUUCGUCACCGUUGUACAUCCUGUUGGCAGACACGUGCUGGCAUUUAUUUGUCGGUGCGGGGAGACCACUCGUUUACUUUGAGAAAAUUAAAGUGUUCAAAGCAGGCAAUCGCUUGAAUACAUUAGCAUGGAAUAAUAGUAUAGGACUUUGAUCUUAUUUGUUGGUUUUAAAGAUCAAAGUAAUGAUUGAUAGGGACAGUUGGGGGCAUCAGUAUUCUGAAGCGAGAGGUGAAAUUCUUGGACCUUCGGAAGACUAACAACUGCGAAAGCAUUUGCCAAGGAUGUUCUCUUUAAUCAAGAACGAAAGUUAGGGGAUCGAAGACGAUCAGAUACCGUCGUAGUCUUAACUAUAAACUAUGCCAGCUAGGGAUCGGUGAACGUUGUUUCGACUUCAUCAGCACCUUAUGAGAAAUCAAAGCAUUUGGGUUCCGGGGGGAGUAUGGUCGCAAGGCUGAAACUUAAA
rnacentral:rRNA from 1 species